rnacentral:tRNA from 1 species
GCGCGCAUAGCUCAGUGGUAGAGCGCAUCCUUGACAUGGAUGAGGCCGUAGGUCCAAUCCCUACUGCGCGCA